AUUGAACGCUGGCGGAAUGCUUUACACAUGCAAGUCGAACGGUAGAGGGGGCAACCCUCGAGAGUGGCGAACGGGUGAGUAAUAUAUCGGAACGUGCCCAGUCGUGGGGGAUAACGUAGCGAAAGUUACGCUAAUACCGCAUACGCCCUGAGGGGGAAAGCGGGGGAUCGAAAGACCUCGCGCGAUUAGAGCGGCCGAUGCCUGAUUAGCUUGUUGGUGGGGUAAAAGCCCACCAAGGCGACGAUCAGUAGCUGGUCUGAGAGGACGAUCAGCCACACUGGGACUGAGACACGGCCCAGACUCCUACGGGAGGCAGCAGUGGGGAAUUUUGGACAAUGGGGGAAACCCUGAUCCAGCAAUGCCGCGUGAGUGAAGAAGGCCUUCGGGUUGUAAAGCUCUUUUGUCAGGGAAGAAACACCGGCUCUAACACAGUCCGGGAAUGACGGUACCUGAAGAAUAAGCACCGGCUAACUACGUG
rnacentral:rRNA from 1 species